GGCAACAUGGCCGAGUGGUUAAGGCGUAAGACUUGAAUACCAAUUCAGGUAUCUUAUGGAUUCGUCCUCGUAGGUUCGAACCCUGCUGUUGUCG
rnacentral:tRNA from 1 species